GAUGAACGCUGGCGGCGUGCCUAAUACAUGCAAGUAGAACGCUGAAGGAGGAGCUUGCUCUUCUGGAUGAGUUGCGAACGGGUGAGUAACGCGUAGGUAACCUGCCUGGUAGCGGGGGAUAACUAUUGGAAACGAUAGCUAAUACCGCAUGACAACAGUUAUUGCAUGAUAACUGUUUAAAAGGGGCAACUGCUCCACUACCAGAUGGACCUGCGUUGUAUUAGCUAGUUGGUGAGGUAACGGCUCACCAAGGCGACGAUACAUAGCCGACCUGAGAGGGGGAUCGGCCACACUGGGACUGAGACACGGCCCAGACUCCUACGGGAGGCAGCAGUAGGGAAUCUUCGGCAAUGGACGGAAGGCUGACCGAGCAACGCCGCGGGAGGGAAGAAGGUUCUCGGAUCGUAAAGCUCUGUUGUAAGAGAAGAACGAGUGUGAGAGUGGAAAGUUCACACUGUGACGGUAUCUUACCAGAAAGGGACGGCUAACUACGUG
rnacentral:rRNA from 1 species